ensembl:miRNA Mir374 microRNA mir-374
CUCGGAUGGAUAUAAUACAACCUGCUAAGUGUUCUAGCACUUAUCAGGUUGUAUUAUCAUUGUCCGUGUUU